AGAGUUUGAUCCUGGCUCAGGACGAACGCUGGCGGCAUGCCUAAUACAUGCAAGUCGAGCGGACUUGAUGAGAAGCUUGCUUCUCUGAUGGUUAGCGGCGGACGGGUGAGUAACACGUAGGCAACCUGCCCUCAAGCUUGGGACAACUACCGGAAACGGUAGCUAAUACCGAAUACUUGCUUUCUUCGCCUGAAGGGAGCUGGAAAGACGGAGCAAUCUGUCACUUGAGGAUGGGCCUGCGGCGCAUUAGCUAGUUGGUGAGGUAACGGCUCACCAAGGCGACGAUGCGUAGCCGACCUGAGAGGGUGAUCGGCCACACUGGGACUGAGACACGGCCCAGACUCCUACGGGAGGCAGCAGUAGGGAAUCUUCCGCAAUGGGCGAAAGCCUGACGGAGCAAUGCCGCGUGAGUGAUGAAGGUUUUCGGAUCGUAAAGCUCUGUUGCCAGGGAAGAACGUCCUUGAGAGUAACUGCUCAAGGAGUGACGGUACCUGAGAAGAAAGCCCCGGCUAACUACGUGCCAGCAGCCGCGGUAAUACGUAGGGGGCAAGCGUUGUCCGGAAUUAUUGGGCAUAAAGAGCUCGUAGGCGGUUUUUUAAGUCAGAUGUGAAAGGCUUGAGCUUAACUCAAGUUAGCAUUUGAAACUAAAUUUCUAGAGAUCAGGAGAGGAAAGCGGAACUCACGGUGUAGCGGUGAAAUGCGUAGAUAUCGUGAGGAACACCAGUUGCGAAGGCGGCUUUCUGGCCUGAUUCUGACGCUGAGGAGCGAAAGCGUGGGGAGCAAACGGGAUUAGAUACCCUGGUAGUCC
rnacentral:rRNA from 1 species